rnacentral:rRNA from 1 species
GUCGUAGUCCGGAUUGGAGUCUGCAACUCGACUCCAUGAAGUCGGAAUCGCUAGUAAUCGUGGAUCAGAAUGCCACGGUGAAUACGUUCCCGGGCCUUGUACACACCGCCCGUCACACCAUGGGAGUGGGUUGCAAAAGAAGUAGGUAGCUUAACCUUCGGGAGGGCGCUUACCACUUUGUGAUUCAUGACUGGGGUGAAGUCGUAACAAGGUAACCGUAGGGGAACCUGCGGUUGGAUCACCUCCUU